rnacentral:rRNA from 1 species
GUAGGUGGCAAGCGUUGUCCGGAAUUAUUGGGCGUAAAGCGCGCGCAGGCGGUCCUUUAAGUCUGAUGUGAAAGCCCACGGCUCAACCGUGGAGGGUCAUUGGGAACUGGGGGACUUGAGUGCAGAAGAGGAGAGUGGAAUUCCACGUGUAGCGGUGAAAUGCGUAGAGAUGUGGAGGAACACCAGUGGCGAAGGCGACUCUCUGGUCUGUAACUGACGCUGAGGCGCGAAAGCGUGGGGGGAGCGAACAGGAUUAGAUACCCUGGUAGUCCACGCCGUAAACGAUGAGUGCUAAGUGUUAGAGGGUUUCCCGCCUUUAGUGCUGCAGCUAACGCAUUAAGCACUCCGCCUGGGGAGUACGGUCGCAAGACUG